rnacentral:rRNA from 1 species
CGGUGUUUAACUGGCGUGAUGUGGGACGUCCUACCGGUGGGCUUAGCCUCGCGAGGGGCGGCCCAACUAAUAUCCCGUCGCGGUGCUCUUUACUGAGUGUCGAGUCGGGCCGGUACGUUUACUUUGAACAAAUUAGAGUGCUUAAAGCAGGCUAUCCUCGCCUGAAUACUGCGUGCAUGGAAUAAUGGAAUAGGACCUCGGUUCUAUUUUGUUGGUUUUCGGAACCUCGAGGUAAUGAUUAAUAGGGACAGAUGGGGGCAUUCGUAUUGCGACGUUAGAGGUGAAAUUCUUGGAUCGUCGCAAGACGGACAGAAGCGAAAGCAUUUGCCAAAAAUGUUUUCAUUAAUCAAGAACGAAAGUUAGAGGUUCGAAGGCGAUCAGAUACCGCCCUAGUUCUAACCAUAAACGAUGCCAGCUAGCGAUCCGCCGAAGUUCCUCCGAUGACUCGGCGGGCAGCUUCCGGGAAACCAAAGCUUUUGGGUUCCGGGGGAAGUAUGGUUGCAAAGCUGAAACUUAAAGGAAUUGACGGAAGGGCACCACCAGGAGUGGAGCCUGCGGCUUAAUUUGACUCAACACGGGAAACCUCACCAGGCCCAGACACCGGAAGGAUUGACAGAUUGAUAGCUCUUUCUUGAUUCGGUGGGUGGUGGUGCAUGGCCGUUCUUAGUUGGUGGAGCGAUUUGUCUGGUUAAUUCCGAUAACGAACGAGACUCUAGCCUGCUAAAUAGGCGUACCUUAUGGUAUCGCGAAGGCCCCCGGCUUCGGCCGGUGGGUUUUUACUACCAACGUACAAACAAAUCUUCUUAGAGGGACAGGCGG